GAUGAACGCUGGCGGCGUGCCUAAUACAUGCAAGUCGAGCGAACAGACGAGGAGCUUGCUCCUCUGACGUUAGCGGCGGACGGGUGAGUAACACGUGGAUAACCUACCUAUAAGACUGGGAUAACUUCGGGAAACCGGAGCUAAUACCGGAUAAUAUAUUGAACCGCAUGGUUCAAUAGUGAAAGACGGUUUUGCUGUCACUUAUAGAUGGAUCCGCGCCGCAUUAGCUAGUUGGUAAGGUAACGGCUUACCGAGGCUACGAUGCGUAGCCGACCUGAGAGGGUGAUCGGCCACACUGGAACUGAGACACGGUCCAGACUCCUACGGGAGGCAGCAGUAGGGAAUCUUCCGCAAUGGGCGAAAGCCUGACGGAGCAACGCCGCGUGAGUGAUGAAGGUCUUCGGAUCGUAAAACUCUGUUAUUAGGGAAGAACAAAUGUGUAAGUAACUAUGCACGUCUUGACGGUACCUAAUCAGAAAGCCACGGCUAACUACGUG
rnacentral:rRNA from 1 species